rnacentral:rRNA from 1 species
GUCUAUAGUCAGACCACCCUGAAUGCACCCGAGUUCCUCUGAUCUCAGAAGCUAAUUGGGGUUGGGCCUGAUUAGUGCUUAGAUGGGAACCACUGGGAUACUUAGUGCUGUAGGCU